rnacentral:piRNA from 1 species
CAGGUAAUUCCACACUUAGCAGGUCC